rnacentral:lncRNA from 1 species
UAUUUUUACGUAUAUAUAUAUAUAUAUAUAUAUAGGCCACUAAGUAGACCAAGACGUAGAUGGGAGGACAAUAUUAGAAGGGAUCUUAAGGAAAUAGACUACGAAAACCGUGAAUAGAGGGGUCGUGCUCAGGGACGAGAACACUGGCGGGAUUUGGAAUUUGCGGCAAUGAACUUUCGAGUUCCUAACGCCAGUUAAUAAUAAUAUAUAUAUAUAUAUACAUGUAUAUGUGUAUAUUUUUAUCAAAUUUUCUGCAAUCAAUUACAUUUGCAAUUUUAGGCAUUUGGUUUCAAUAGUCCCAUCUAUUGUAUUCAUUUUUUUAUAAUUUUAGUUAAGUUUGCUUUCUUACAAUUAUUCAAGAUUCGAGAUAACUUUUUAUCUGGAAAAUAUUAAAAAUCUUAUUUAGGGGAGGGGAAGAAGGAAGAAAGUCGAAAGAAAUAUUUCUGCUGUACUAACGAUUAUUAUUUCUUGGCGAACAUUAAUACAACUGUAGUAACCGCACUCAUAAAAAAUAAGAAGAAAACGAAAACACGUAAAAAUAUAUAUAUAUAUAUAUAUAUAUAUCGACAUGUACAUUCAAACGCAUGUAUAUACUUAUAUAAGAAUUCAUCUUUUAAAACAUAUAAGAAAUGACAAACCGCCACAUGACAAUGGUCAUUUGUUUAUUAUUGUGACUAUAUAUUACAACAAAGCGCUUAAAUCAAUGCGCGUAAUCGUAAGAAGAAAUAUAGCUUUUUUUCUAUAAAUAAUAUGAAUUUUUUUGUAAUAUUUAUAUUACUACGUAUAUAGGAUGUGAUAAGAAAAUGAAAAAAAGAGUGACACGAGAAGAAUGAGAAAAGUUUUUGGAGAAGAGAAAUCAUACGGAAAGUGAAAAAAAAAAUAAAAACCAAACACCUUCGCUGACCUUGAUAUUCGUCACUGCAGAUUUUCUGAAGCAUCUAUUGUGUCUAAAACUCUAAUGGAAUAACCGAGAGUGACUCGAUGAAACAAGGAUGCGACUGCUGAACGCCAAAUCAGUGUUUUCCGGCUAAUAUAAAGUGUUAAAUCGAUUAGAAGAUACGACAUUCAACGGGAAUAUUGAUUAAAUUAUGUUCAAAACUGUACAUUUAUAAGAAUGCAAACUUAACAACAACAAAAAACAAAAAGAAACAUUAUUUAGAAACAUAACAAAAUAUAGGCAUUAAAGAAGUAUGCAUUGAAAUUGAAAAGAGCGCAGAUUUGUGAUAAUGAUUUGUGAGUCUAGUUUGAAUGAUGAAUAUAAUAGAUCGAUUGAAUGUAAUUGAAUGCUGUUGCAAUUUUCAAGUUAGGAGGAAGGCUUAAAUUUGUUCGUUAACUACUUUGUCUCUCCUUCUGACUGAUUCCUGCUAAAUUGUAAAAGUUGUAGGAUGAGGCAUAUAUAUUGGCCAAUCAUUUAAAGAUUUCCUAAAAUUGUACGAAUAAUAAUUUUUCACAAUUUUUAAUCUUUAGACAUUUUCCUAGACUACAUUUGUGACAAUGUUAACCAGUUUAAAUACUGGGAAGUCAUUAUUUAUGCCAGGUAGCAUAUCCCUGUUGCCAUGUUGAUUCUUUCCAGGCCUGUAUCCGUUAACUUUAGUCUCGAGAACUUACUAAAGUAAAAAAUUUGUGAACAGUCAAUAAAUUGCUUUUUCGCUUUUCGAUUAAUCUUUUACUUUUAUCAAGUAUCUCGAUUUCUAAAGAUUGAGAAAUGCAUGCAAGGCCUUAAUAGUUCUUUUAUACAUUGGUAUAAUAAUCUGAAAAAAAAUAAAUAAAUAAAUAAAAAUAAUAAAGUAAUGAUAGUAUUAACGAGUAGUGUUGGAUAAUUAAACAUCAUUUUGCAUUUUUUACAACAAAAUGAUGCAGAAGAAACAUUUCUUAGAUAACACGAAGACUGUUGCAUUUUUGUAAUACGAAUAAUCAGAUAUUUUAUAAUAUUUCCAUAAUUUUUAGUACUAUCAGAAAAAAAAUUUAUACACGAAUUCUCGAAUUCGAUAGGAACGUGCAAAAUUUUGAUUUACGAUGAAAUCGUUUAUACUACCAUCCUUAGUUAACAUUAGAAAUAACUCAAUUUUGAAAAAAUUCCAUACGGUAGCACAAAAGAACGACAUAUCUGAAAAACUAAUGAAGUUCAUAAACGUAAUAUUUUUGCUCUCGGUCAUCCAGACGUCAUCUUAUAUUUUGCAGUGUUCAUAUUUUUUAAUGAAUAAUUUUGCUCUCAAUGUUGUACUUAUUUUUUGGUGCUACAUUUGCCUUUGUGAGCAACAAAGUUCCUUUUUUAAAUCACUGGAUGUCUCUACGAAUAUGAAAUUAUUUUAUAAUAACACUUUGAUUGAUAAUAUAUCAAAUUAUAAAUUACAAUGAAUGCAGUAAUAAACACAACUGAUAAAAAUGUAGCGGAUCCAACAUUUUUCAAAACAAACAAAAAAUAACAAAAAAAAAAGCAAUGACAUAUUGUGACUUUAUGCAGUUCAUUGAGUAUGUAUAUGAAUUGUUAUAAUAUCAUAUAACAAUGUGUUUGUUUUGUGUGGGUGUGGGUGUGUGUUUGGAUGGGUGUGUGUGUGUGGGGGGGGGGGUGUCUGGAUAUGUUGAAGAAAUCAAACGAUCGGAAUGCUGAAAUAGGUUUAUAUACCAUUGGAGUAAUAAUUAUACGAGAUAAAGAAUUUUACUGGAGUAAAAUUAAUUACUGUUAUUGUUCAUUAAUUCUUUAUCUAAUAAUGAACUCUUCAACCAUUAUAAAUACAACACUAUGUAAAUGUAUAAAAAUAUUUAAUAACAUUA